GACGAACGCUGGCGGCGUGCUUAACACAUGCAAGUGGUGCGACGAACCAGGCUUCGGCCUGGGGCGAAGCCGCGAACGGGUGAGUAACACGUGGGCAAUCUGCCCCUUUGAUCGGGACAACCCGGGGAAACCCGGGCUAAUACCGAAUGAGGUGGCGACUCAUGAGAGUCGUCACGAAAGGAAGCUUCGGCCUCCGCGAAGGGAUGAGCCCGCGGCCCAUUAGCUUGUUGGUGGGGUAAUGGCCUACCAAGGCAACGAUGGGUAGCUGGUCUGAGAGGACGAUCAGCCACACUGGGACUGAGACACGGCCCAGACUCCUACGGGAGGCUGCAGUGGGGAAUCUUGCGCAAUGAGCGACAGCUUGACGCAGCAACGCCGCGUGAGGGAAGAAGGCUUUCGGGUCGUAAACCUCUUUCAGUUAGGACGAAGCUUUAUCGGUUAAUAACCAAUUGGAGUGACGGUACAUUCAGAAGAAGCCCCGGCUAACUCCGUGCCAGCCGCCGCCGUAA
rnacentral:rRNA from 1 species